GAGGAGCGAAGUAGAGGCAGGAACUUCUCCUCCGGGAGCUGGGCGCGCCGCGGGGACAAAGUCCUCGGGGGCUGCGGCGCUCCGCACCCGCGGGCAGAUUGCCAACGCUAAGAAAACAGAGACUUCCAGCAAAAAAUUCUUCAGUUCAUGGAGCAACAAGGGCAGUGUUAGGAAUACAUCCCACCCUUGUGCUUCUGCUCCAGGAUGCAGUGAGAAGAAAGGCAUGCAGAGAGCAAAUAAUUAUGCAAGCCACUACCUGAGCACUCAACGCAUGUUAAUCUUCAGCUUUCUUGUUUUCACAACCACUACACAUCCCUCUCAUUCAUUUGUAGCCACUGUCGAUGAACCAUGACAGUAUUAAACAGUUAACACCUACAAUAAAUAUUUUAAGAAACUGUUACAGCGAAGAAAAAAACAGUUAUUGGAUCCAAAGCUAUUUUUCAUGCCUUGGCACAAAAGGAAUAAAGGAAUGUAACAGAAGCUGCUCCUGCUAGUCUGGGUGGGCAGAAGAACUUGAGGUCCAAGGAUGCGAGUGGGAGAGAGCCUACACAGAACCCAGGAUGAAAGCAUGGCCCAUCUGGCUGUCUCUAGGCAUCAGCUGGGAUGUCCUCUCCUGCUAGGCAAGGUUUGUAGAACAUAGCUGUGGCAAAAAAUGUUACAUGUUCCCUAGUGACCUCGUUGUGGAAGCCAACUGGUCCAGCAUGAAGAAUGUCUGGGGGGAGCUGGGUGGUUGGAAUGGUUGGAGCCAUACAAUUGUGCCACUGGUGCAAUUUGUGGUGUUGCUGUGAAAGUAUGAGAGGGAUGCGAAGGGAAUGUGAUGGAAAAGAAUGGCUAAAAAAGGAAUUGAGGAAUCACAUGAAAGAAAGUCAAAACACAGUGUAGUUUGUGUUUUGUCUCAACAAGUGAGAGUAAAGAGCUACUUUGAAGAGUGUUUCUGAGUGAGAGAUGCAUGGAAUUUGGACAGCUCAACGGCACCCCCACUAUUCUCAGGUUGUAAUGCACCUAAAUGACGUGGUGGAGCAGUACCUGUGAGGGUGGUUCAUGAUGUCUGCACAUGCAGAUAUUUCUUAUCUUCAUGGAAG
rnacentral:lncRNA from 1 species